rnacentral:rRNA from 1 species
UACGUAGGGUGCGAGCGUUAAUCGGAAUUACUGGGCGUAAAGCGCACGUAGGCGGCGCCGUAAGUCAGGGGUGAAAUCCCGGAGCUCAACUCCGGAACUGCCUUUGAAACUGCGGUGCUAGAAUCCUGGAGAGGCGAGUGGAAUUCCGAGUGUAGAGGUGAAAUUCGUAGAUAUUCGGAAGAACACCAGUGGCGAAGGCGACUCGCUGGACAGGUAUUGACGCUGAGGUGCGAAAGCGUGGGGAGCAAACAGG